rnacentral:rRNA from 1 species
UUUCAAAGCGCCGGGGUUCCCCCUUUUUGGCGCGUUGUAGACUGAAGGGGCGCUAUCUUGCGUGGAGCGGGCACAGGUCCGUUGGAAGGCGGCAUCAGAGAGGGUGACAAUCCCGUCCAUGGCCCGCUGUUACAAGGCCCACGCAUGUACGUUGCGCUUCCAAAGAGUCGGGUUGUUUGGUAUUGCAGCCCAAAGUGGGUGGUAAAGUUCAUCUAAGGCUAAAUAUGGGCACGAGACCGAUAGCGAACAAGUACCGUGAGGGAAAGAUGAAAAGCACUUUGAAAAGAGAGUCAAAAAGUACGUGAAACCGUUAACAGGGAAACGAAUGGAGCUAGCAUUUGUACCUUUUGCCCGCAAUCAGCCAAGCGCUUUUUUGGGGAGGCCGCGGUGGAAACAGAAAUUCUGUAUUGGGGAGCCCUUUUGAGUAUGCCGUCAAAAGCAAAGGCAAAGGGGCCCCACGCCAUGGCAUUUUUUUCCUCGAAGCUUUUGGUGCACUUGCGGGCGGUAACAGGCCAACAUCAGUUCGGACAAGGUUAACCUUUUGACAGGAGCCCAUUGGGGGAAGGUGGUUACGGUUCAUUUAUUUUGCCUCUCCCUUCUCUCGGGAAGGGAACGGGCGCCGUGACGUUAUAACCCCCAUGGGAACCGAGUCGCAGGCCGGACUGAGGAGAUAAAGCAGCGCGCCACCUUGCAGAGUUUCCGCUGGGAUGCCGGGCGAUACGGUCACUGCGCCCUAGUAAGCGCAGUACCGGGCGUCUUUUUAAAAGGUCGUCUCACCGUUUUUUUUGCGGCCACGGAAGCCUACGCAUUAGACGCGCUUGUGAUGUUGGCGAAAUGGCUUCAUCCGACCCGUCUUGAAACACGGACCAAGGAGUCUAACAUAUGCGCGAGUCUUUGGGUGCAAAACCCGCGAGGCGAAAUGAAAGUGAAGGCGCGUUCGGCGCGCUUAGGUGAGAGAGGGGUUUGCCAAGACUCGUUUUUUGGCGGCGCCUUGCAUCAUCGACCGAUUUGGAUGGGCUUGUCCCUGAAAGAUUUGAGUAAGAGCGCAUCUGUUGGGACCCGAAAGAUGGUGAACUAUGCCUGAACAGGGUGAAGCCUGAGGAAACUCAGGUGGAAGCUCGUAGCGAUUCUGACGUGCAAAUCGAUCGUCUGAUUUGGGUAUAGGGGCGAAAGACUAAUCGAACCAUCUAGUAGCUGGUUCCCUCCGAAGUUUCCCUCAGGAUAGCUGGAACUAGGACAAACGCAGUUUUAUCAGGUAAAGCGAAUGAUUAGAGGCCUUGGGGUUGAAAUAACCUCAACCUAUUCUCAAACUUUAAAUAGGUAAGAAGCCCGACUUGCUUAAAAAGUCAAUGAAGCCGGGCAGCUGAAUGCAAAGUUCCAAGUGGGCCAUUUUUGGUAAGCAGAACUGGCGAUGCGGGAUGAACCGAACGCAAAGUUAAAGUGCCAAAGUUCACGCUCACCUAGAACCCAGAAAAGGUGUUGGCUGAUGAAGACAGCAGGACGGUGGCCAUGGAAGUCGGAACCCGCCAAGGAGUGUGUAAAAACUCACCUGCCGAAUCAGCCAGCCCUGAAAAUGGAUGGCGCUCAAGCGUGACACUCAUACUUUGCCGUUGCCGCAAAAAGAACAUGAACGCUUUAUAUGCCGCAACGAGUAGGAGGGCGUGGGGGUGGUGAAGCAGCUUAGGGCGUGAGCCUGAGUGAAACCGCC